CGGGAAUCCCGCGGGAUGGGAAACAAAAUCGCUACGAAUCACGUGAUUGGGACGGGACAGGAAAAAAUGUCAUCGGGAGUGGGCGGGACCGGGAAUAGCAAUGAUACCCAACUUUAUACACAAAUAUACCUUUUAUAUAAAUAAACUAUAAACUGUAUAUUUUAAUUCUGAGCUCAAUUCUAGUUGCCCUGUCGCGCUCUCCUCCUGUUUGCUUUGGUGUGGCUGGUUAAGUGAAUGACGCAGUCUGUGACGGACAGAUCGUUAACGGCUGGUCUGUGUGGUAAUACUCGGGCAGGACAUACAAACGCUCACCUAUCAUUCAUCGACCUCAAAUAUGGCUUUUCAUCCGAAAGAUAAAAGAGUCCAAGGAGCCAUUCUCCAUGUAUUCCACCACUAUCAUCACAGGCCGACCUACAAAGAGGAAAACAGGACACCUGUUGCAGGCAGUUUGAUUUGAAGCGUGAAAUCAGUGAUUGUCUACAUGUCAGACCGAAGCUGUGAGUGUAUCAAACUUGGCAGAGAAACACGUUUGUUUUUUGCAGAGAGAAAACAGCUCUUGGCUGAUGAUGAUCCAAGUUAUUCUGUAAUCAGUUUCAUUCAGACAAUUCACAUCCUCGAUGAUCAAUAUCAGUACUUCAUGAUUUCCUCAUCUGUUUUAUUUAUGCAUUUAUUUGUUUAUGCCCUGCCAUGCUGGAGUUGUGUUAAACACAUUACUGAAGGGUAUCACAUUAAUGUUCAAAUGUUGGGCUAAGUAAGGCUUUUUUUCUUUUAUUCAGCAAGGAUGCAUUAAAUUGUUCAAAAGUAAUAGUAAUGACAUUUGUUACAAAAAUACUUUUUUUUCAAAUAAAUGCUGUACUUCUGAACUUUCUAUUCAUCAAAUGAUCUUGAAAGAAAAAAAGUAUUAUGGAUUCCAUAAAAAUAUUAAACUGUUUUAAAAUUGCAGCAAAUCAACAUAUGAUUUCUGAAGGAUCAAUAGGCACUGAAGUCUGGAGUAAUGGCCGCUGAAAAUUCAAGAUCAGACAUUUCAAUGGUAUUAUGGAUAUAUUAAACAGCUGUUUGAAUCUUCAGAAGGCAAAAGAA